UCCACGAGAGAGCUUCUAUGAUUGCUAGGGUUUCAGCUACAAAUGUAGAGGGGGCUCGGAUUUGCUUUGCGAACCCAUCUAUGAGAGUUCCAUCUUCAUUUCUACGUAUCCCCGCAACCAAUCCUCCCAUCAUGGAGCUACACCAUGAGCCAUCGACGUUCAAUUUCAGAAAUCUCGAAGGUGGUGGGUUCCAGCUUUUUGUUGGAGGAUGGAUAUUUGAGUUUGAUCGAGCCAUGUUCGUAUUCCAUCUUGCAAACAGCCAGAAGACUCCUACAAACAAAUAGAGCCUUGGAUGGAGGGGUGGCUUUCAAGGCACAUAAAAGGAAAAGAUGUUCAGUUGAUUCUGGAGCAUGGCCGCAUAGAGGACAUAACGAAUCGGGUAUCAUAUUCCUCUUGUAAAGGUUCUCUUUGGUAGGAAGAGCAUUAUUGCAAACACUCCACAAUAGGAAUAUGAUUUUGGGAUAAGUUUGUAGUUUCCAAAUCUCAGUCCACAAUCUUUUGGGAUUAUGGUAAGAAGUUGAUGCCGAAA